GGAGAGAUGGCUGAGUUGGUCGAAGGCGCUCGCCUGGAAAGCGGGUAGACGUUCACGCGUCUCGAGGGUUCGAAUCCCUCUCUCUCCGCCA
rnacentral:tRNA from 1 species